GAUGAACGCUGGCGGCGUGCCUAAUACAUGCAAGUCGAGCGAACAGACGAGGAGCUUGCUCCUCUGACGUUAGCGGCGGACGGGUGAGUAACACGUGGAUAACCUACCUAUAAGACUGGGAUAACUUCGGGAAACCGGAGCUAAUACCGGAUAAUAUAUUGAACCGCAUGGUUCAAUAGUGAAAGACGGUGUUGCUGUCACUUAUAGAUGGAUCCGCGCCGCAUUAGCUAGUUGGUAAGGUAACGGCUUACCAAGGCAACGAUGCGUAGCCGACCUGAGAGGGUGAUCGGCCACACUGGAACUGAGACACGGUCCAGACUCCUACGGGAGGCAGCAGUAGGGAAUCUUCCGCAAUGGGCGAAAGCCUGACGGAGCAACGCCGCGUGAGUGAUGAAGGUCUUCGGCUCGUAAAACUCUGUUAUUAGGGAAGAACAAAUGUGUAAGUAACUAUGCACGUCUUGACGGUACCUAAUCAGAAAGCCACGGCUAACUCCGUG
rnacentral:rRNA from 1 species